UGCAUAUGGAAAAUUCUUCUAUGCCGUGUCAUCAUCGUAUAACAUCAAAAAACAUUACAUUAAAAAACAUGGAGCAAAGUUAACGAUCUCAAACACGAAAUAAUCAAUAUUUAGCUGAUGCUUCGAUUAUACAUGUAUUGUCUAAUCAAAACAUUGUACCGGAUGAAGAACGGAAUUCGUUAAACCAAGACACAAUCAUGUAUCAGGAAUUACCUCAAUCAGAUCAAUUAUCAUCAAUUUAAACGAGCUCAUAAGGAAUUUAAAAUAAAAUUCUUGGGCAAUUCAUUUGAACAUCCAUGCUCAGUAUGUGACAGAUUGUGGUUUAGAAAGGAUUUAAAAGAGCCAUCUAAUGAACAUAAGGAUAUUCUAAUACAAUUUAUACCUAAUGUACCUAUGAAAAAUACUAAGCCUUGUAAUACAUUCAUGCAAGCUUUAAA
rnacentral:lncRNA from 1 species